rnacentral:lncRNA from 1 species
UUUUUGGUGACAUGUAAGUGAAAGUACAGGUAUUUGAACGGGUUCUCCCGGGCCUUCUCGGCUUCGGGUGCCAGUCCGGCCCGAUGGGAUUUUGGGGCGUGACAAAAGUGGUAUCAGAGAGGUUCGUCCUAGUGAGUCUACAAAGCCGUGUCUACGUAGAGUCUUGUUUAUCGGUGUGUUGUGCACCACAUCUAUAAACAGGAGGCUAUGGACAUUUAGGAAAUUAUUUCUUUUCUUCAGAUCAUAGAUCGUGCCAUAGAGUUUAUAUAGCAAACGAAGUCAUAGUUGGCCACUGAAUCCAUUUGCUUCUCUUAUUACAGUAAGAAUGCCGGAUAUCGGAAGUAAGAAUACCGACGAGCGGGUAGACGUAGCUGUCGGAGAAGGGACUAGUAAGUCACCACCUGUACAAGUUAAUCAGAGUGAAGCUCAAGUUGAGCGGGUAUCUGAAAUGUCUUCCACUCCAGAUGGAAUAAAGGGGAGGCAAACCAUAAUCACAGAACCACUUGUUAAUGCUGCUGAUCAGGAUAUGAGGGAUGCAGUACAACUGUUGACCCGGAUUGUUGCCAGUCAAGUCCAAGGGCAAGCUAUUCCUGCCGCGGGUCCUAGCGGUACUGAUAGGGCGGCUAGUCUUCG